GUAAAUAUAAUGCACUGCGCGCCUAAUUUUACACGAAAUGACGUCAUCGGGCUAAUUUUCGAGUGACUGAUAUGCAGAGACAAUCCGGCUCUCGGACGACGGGCCGGGGGGGUCGGAAGGGAGUGCGAAAUAAUUGGCGAAAAGAUGAUAGACAAGCUUUGACAGUGGGAUCUGCUUUGUCAUAGACUUUGAUUCAGUGCAUUCGAGCGAAGGAGCGGAGAGCGGGGCCCGGGGGGGGGAGCGGCCUGGCUGGCAGUUUGUCAAGCCGGGGGAGGUCUGUUAUUUAAAUUAGGACAAUCGCCCGGAGUCAGUUGAUAUUGUCGCCUUUCAAUUCCGGGGUUUUUAUCUCGUCCGACUCUUUCCGGCGGCGACCUUUGCCCUUUGCCCCGCGGCGAUGCACCUCUGACGCCUCCUGAUUGCGUGCGUAGCUGGAAAUUCGCGUAGUUUCGCCUGGAUACGCGACGCGGGUGAAGUUUCGCGGAUAUUCGCGCUUUCUCGGCGGUCGCGGUGUUUCCGAACCCCUCUCACGUUGCGUGACGUCGUUAGCGUGGCCCCCGACCCCUGCUCCCCCCCCCUCCCCCCGCCGAGUGAUUCUAGCCCCGCGCGCGGGGUACCCCGGAAAAUUGGAAGUUGACAUGUUUUGUGCAUUCCUGUAGGAGGCUAAUCCUGAACCGGGGCCAUGAACAAGCUGCUGAGCAUCCUCCUUCAGAAGAGUGAUCCGGCCUUCCCGUGGGGCUUCGAAGUCGUCGGAGGGAAGGACAGGAGCGUCCCGUUGACCAUUCAUGUGGUGAAAUCAGGGACCUUGGCGUCACAAUAUCUUCAACCCGGAGAUCGAGUUUUGCAAAUAAACGAAAGAGACAGUGCUCUCUUGGCAGAACACGAGGCUACCCAACUCAUACUUCAACCAUCAAAAUGUUUAGAGCUUCUUAUAUUAAAAUCCUCUACACCCCCUAGCGGAGAGGACAGCAAGAACACUCAACUUCACAAAAUCAGUAAACCCCCAAAAUAUCAAAGCCCUCGGUCCAGUCACGUAUUUGAAGAUAUUAGUGAGGAGGUCUGUACAUCCGAAAAAGCAUUCCGUAGCGAAAACCAACACGUUCAAUCGAAUUACGUCCAACAAGAGAAUUAUGAGCAGCAAGGUGAGAGGCAAAUUCAGCGGGAGUCUUUCUCCCGAGAUGGACAGUGUAAAAACGUCAGCGCCCGUCAAAAUUUAGAGUCAAAGACGAGUUCGCACAUUAUAAAAAGUGAGAGAACGAGCCAUGCGGCGGAAAGUAACAGUAGCUACUACACCUCUGAAAGUCAAUUGUCCAAAACCCAAAAUUCUCAAGUAAUUCCAAAUAUUCCACCGAGGAGGCACCCGUCCGAGAGGAAAGCAAACGAUGAGGGAGGAAGUAAUGGCGCCGCCCAAGCGUACUCAACCGUGGAGAAAUCAGAGCAACAAUCUCACCACCACCAAACUUACUCAGCAAGUUCGGAAUUGAACUCAGACAGCCGAAAGUCACGAAAUAACACUGACUCACAACGCUCACAGGAACCCACAGCCCCUUGGCGCAAUUCAAUCAGACUCCCGGACCAAGCUCCCGCCCGAGAAAACCAUCAGACUAACAAUCGCUCAAAACCAGAAAAUGCCAUCGUUGAAAAUGCCACACAGCAUCAAAAUUCCAAGUCCCAGAAUUUCCAAGCCGCGGAGCUUGAAAGCGGCAGAACUGUGGAGAGCUCGAGUUUCCGGAAGUCGACGGCGAGUUACGAAAAAUGCUCAAAGGUCCAAAGCGCAGAGACAAGGGUAGCCAAGAGCCAAGUUAUCGCUCCAACGGCGCAGGCCUCCAGGACGGAGCAAUCGGGAACUCCGAUGUCAAGGACGGAGCAAUCGGGGACUCCGAUGUCAAGGACGGAGCAAUCAGGGACGCCAAUCUCGCGGACGGAGCAAUCGGGUACUCCGAUCUCGCGGACGGAGCAAUCGGGGACUCCCAUCUCGAGACACUCGGUAGCGGACCUGCGGAGCUUCCUGCCCCGCUCGACGUACCCGAAGCUGAAGCAGCCGAAAGACUUCCAGCCGAAGCUGAGCAACUACUACGAGAACUUCAAGCUCCGCUCGGGCGAGCCGCGGGUCCAGCGCAGCAUCUCGGAGCCCUCGGGGUCGCAAGCCCCGAGCCUCUCCUCCACCCCCGACGCAGGGGCCAUGCACCCGGAGCCCAUUCCACCCCGCAACGAGUCCCGCACCCGACUCACCGACCCCUACUCCCAGUUCUUCAACGACAAGCGCCGCACCUUCCACGAGGGCGAGACCUUCGCUCCGUUGAGCAAGUCCUUCUUCCGCUCGUCCAACCCCCAGCUAAACGAGGAGAGCAAAAGCAACGACCGGAGCUGGCGGGCAUCCAGCUAUUGUGAAGGCACCGACGAUGGAGGAAAGACACUCGACACUCGGAACUGCCAGACGCUGAAGCGGGACUCUAGAACCCAAGCUCAGACUAAAUCAGCGACAUACGUUCGGUGUAACUCGAGCAUUCCUUUCUUCCACGAGAGCGAUACCAAAGAGUCUGAGAAGCCCACCAACAACUCGUUCUACUCGACGACCACGACGAAUCUCAAACCGAGAGUGUUUCCGUUCCCUCUCGAGUCGAGUGCAGGAAAUACCAAAGAGUAUGGUAGAGAAGUUGUGGAAACCUCGGAGGAUUACCAGGUGGGUGAGGCGUCGAGAGAAGACUGUUUCUCUCCCUAUGAUAAUCUCUCCGAUGGCCACGGGGAGGGUUUUUGUGGAAUGAAGAGAUCCACCGACGCGGAGGAGGUGUUUCAGCCCGUCAGAGGUGGCAAGAUAUUCAACCGAGCCACGCAGAGGUGGGAGUUCUCCGCCGCUCCGGUCACCUCCGAUCCCGCCUCGUCCUCCGAGCUGAAUCAAAGCGAAGAUCACAUCGAUAGUAAUGAAACAUCGGUAACGGGAUGUUCGUAUGGAGAUGCGAUCCCUCAGAGCAAGAGCGAGCAAGAAUGUAGAGCCGAAAAAUCCGUGAGCGGAUCCUCGGCGGAGUAUCGAGAUAUCACGAAAGAAAACGUUUCCUCUAAGAACAUUAAAUCGAGCAUCACGAAGUUCUCGGACGAAGAAAGAAGCGACGGAGCCGCUGUCAUUUUGAACAACCGCAGAAUCAAUCUGAACGAGAGCAAAACGGAUGACAGUAAAUUGCAUUCGAAUUUGCAAAGUUAUUUAUUCGAGGGAAGCCAGAAAACCCAGCAUGCCGGCCAUCGAAGUGCGAACUCUGCGGAGGAGGCAAAUCUAGAAUCGACGAAUUUUGAUGUUUACAUCAAUCGUUUCGAUACUUCGGUCAAUUCGGAGGGUUAUUCAAAAUAUCAAUCGCAGAUCGGUCCACCGACUGGAACUCCGAAACAAUUUAAUCAAGAAAACUCAAAUUCUCGACGGGUUGACCCUCAAUAUUCACCGAUCAAAAUCGAAAAUCAGUCUCAAUCAAUAUCAAACGAUAGUCAGGAUGAUGUCUGCUUCAAUGAAAUCAAAUACAACUUGAGUAAAAUUUGUAACGACGGGGCGAGAUACACCACUGCUGCAGAAAAAAACGCAAACAGUGAAAAAUGUCAAUUUCGAGAAGUCGCAGCUGAAGAGCGAAGCAAAUAUUUCUCAACAAAGUUACAAAAAUUUAGAACAAGUAAGGACAGAGAAACAAUUUGUGUCCGAUGAGAGAGACUUUUACGCUCAAUCCCAAAGUAGAAAGUCACAUUUUACAACGGAACAAUCGUAUAGUGAAAAUAGCUCGAUUGAACAAAGUUCUAUCGCUGAAAGAUCGGUAUAUAAAGAAAAUCAGUUCUAUGAGAACUUUAUGACUGCAGAUCAGCACGACAUAACGAGACAUUUCCAGCAUGUUUUCUCCAACCCACCUCAAACGGUGGAAGAAUCUAAAAGAGCCCGCAGCCCUGAGAAAACCAAACCAGUCACCUCGAGUCAAACAAUUCGCAAUAGCCCCGAAAAGCCGAACCGAUUCAGUCCCGAAAGAACAGCUCAAUUGAAGCCUGCGAACCGAACACUAACAAACAUUCAAGAUACGGCAUUCAAAAGUCCCGAAAAAGAGCAACCAUAUCAAACCGAACAUGUAUUGCCCCUCCCGUAAUCCCAAACCUUUCUUCCAAGGAGACCAAAUUCAACAGCCUUGAAAAACCACCGCCGUAUCAACCUGAAAAAGCAUUGCCCCCUUUUCCAACCACGGAUCUCGAGGAUGCAAAGUUCAACAUCGUUGAAACGACGCCAUAUCAACCUGAAAGAGCGCUGCCCCCCAUUCCAGCGACAAGCCAUCGGCCUCCCAUCAAACCAACUGUCAACGAGUAAGUUUCAAUUUUAAUCUUUACUUUUAAUACUUGUACAAAAAAAAAUAAAAAUAAAAAAUAAAAAAAUAAAAAACACCUGAGGGGCGGACUAGCUAGGGAAGCUAGGAGGGGACCGGGGGACCGACCGCCUCCCAAGACUCUACUGCGGGGUUCCGAAAAGGCAAUUUACCCCCAUA
rnacentral:lncRNA from 1 species